rnacentral:rRNA from 1 species
UACGGAGGGUGCAAGCGUUAUCCGGAUUCACUGGGUUUAAAGGGUGCGUAGGUGGGCAGUUAAGUCAGUGGUGAAAUCUCCGAGCUUAACUCGGAAACUGCCAUUGAUACUAUCUGUCUUGAAUAUCGUGGAGGUAAGCGGAAUAUGUCAUGUAGCGGUGAAAUGCUUAGAUAUGACAUAGAACACCAAUUGCGAAGGCAGCUUACUACCCGAAUAUUGACACUGAUGCACGAAAGCGUGGGGAUCAAACAGG